AUUUCUUUGGCUAUCAUAAUUUAGCAUUUAUUAUGUAGCAUUUUAUAGCUUCUGAGUUUGUAAUAUAUAUAUAGUCAGUAUAAUGUAACAUGUUCACUGAACUGACUUAUAUUUAUAGCGACUCUUUAAUAAUAAUAAUUAAUCCACUUUUUUGUAACAAAAUACAUUAAAUGCCAAACCUAAAGUAACAUCCUUCAAGGUCAACGGUAAACAAAUAAAUAUGUUCAAAGCGGCGCAGUAGGGAGCAUUGUUUCUAACAAACACAUCUCUUGUUCCAUACUAAAUUAACUUUGAAUUAACUGUUUUUGUUUUUUUUGUUACAGAUACAUCAAAUCUAGGCAUAAUUGCAACAUGUUAUUAUUAUUAAUAAGCAUAAGCGUAUGUGCCUAAGUGUUUUACAAAGUUAUAUGUUUGAAUUAAUUUUUGCGGUUUAUUUUUGCAGCUUCUUCAUAUGCGUUACAAAGCAGUGAGAGUGCCACAACAGCCAGCAGAGAAGAACAUAUGAGUGUACCAGUCAUGAAAGUAGAGGCAUGAAGUGGAAAGAAUCGCUCACAAAGAAGACCGACAAGAGAUCACAAGGAGAUACCUUAACAAAACUUACAGAGAAACCGAUGGAAAAAGACUAAGAAAAAAUAGAAUAAAAAAAAAAAAAGUUGACUGUAGAAAUUGAAAUAAUACAUUUGGAGAAAAAGAUGUGUUUAG